rnacentral:siRNA from 1 species
CAGAAGACUCUCCAUAUAUAUUGG